AUUCGGUUUUCGUUUGUUGAUGUGCCUAGUUUAAUAUAUAUUUAAUACUUUGGUUUAUGCGAAAGCUUAGAACACAAAUCAAGAUAGAUAAAACGGCAUUUGACUCCAACAGUGGCUAAUCUACGUUUGGGAGAAAGAUUAGCUUAUUGGGAAGUUCAGGCCAUCAUGUACUAACUAGGUAUAGGCCUAGGCCUUAGUCUCAGUUGCCCCAUGAGAGGAGAUCGGAGGCCUAGUUUUCACAAGGUACAGGACUACAAUACCCUUAGCAGAGUGAGAUGUAUGAGUCGUAUCUGAAAGGCCACACAUUUCGAAUUCCGGAGGUGCUACACUCUUGGUGAUGGACCAGCAGUCGACUAAAGCAGUAUACAACCCAGAGACGGUGUGUUCAAACUUUAUACCUUCAGCAGAACGGUUCUGCCCAAACUUUAGAUUUUAUCUGCUCCGUUAUAUGAACUACAAUAGGCGAUUCCAAGUCUUAUCAUGCAGAAGUUUCUUUCAACCUCCCCCUU